rnacentral:rRNA from 1 species
UACGAAGGGGGCUAGCGUUGCUCGGAAUUACUGGGCGUAAAGCGCACGUAGGCGGAUCCUUAAGUCGGUGGUGAAAUCCUGAAGCUCAACUUCAGAACUGCCUUCGAUACUGGGGACCUUGAGUUCGGGAGAGGUGAGUGGAACUGCGAGUGUAGAGGUGAAAUUCGUAGAUAUUCGCAAGAACACCAGUGGCGAAGGCGGCUCACUGGCCCGAUACUGACGCUGAGGCACGAAAGCGUGGGGAGCAAACAGG